rnacentral:rRNA from 1 species
CCUACGUGCGGCAGCAGUGGGGAAUAUUGCACAAUGGGGGAAACCCUGAUGCAGCGACGCCGCGUGAAGGAUGAAGUAUUUCGGUAUGUAAACUUCUAUCAGCAGGGAAGAAAAUGACGGUACCUGACUAAGAAGCCCCGGCUAACUACGUGCCAGCAGCCGCGGUAAUACGUAGGGGGCAAGCGUUAUCCGGAUUUACUGGGUGUAAAGGGAGCGUAGACGGUUUGGUAAGUCUGAUGUGAAAACCCGGAGCUCAACCCCGGGACUGCAUUGGAAACUGCCGAACUAGAGUGUAGGAGAGGCAAGUGGAAUUCCUAGUGUAGCGGUGAAAUGCGUAGAUAUUAGGAGGAACACCAGUGGCGAAGGCGGCUUGCUGGACGAUGACUGACGUUGAGGCUCGAAAGCGUGGGGAGCAAACAGGAUUAGAUACCCUAGUAGUC